ACUUUUCCGCCCGCUCCCCCCUCCCCCCGAGCGCCGCUCCGGCUGCACUGCGCUCGCUCUGAGCUCCGUGCUCCUAAGCUAGUGCCACCGUUGUCUCCCUCCAGUCGCCAUCAUGAUCAUCUACCGGGACCUCAUCAGCCAUGAUGAGAUGUUCUCCGACAUCUACAAGAUCCGGGAGGUCGCGGACGGGCUGUGUCUGGAGGUGGAGGGGAAGAUGGUCAGUAGGACAGAGGGUAACAUUGAUGACUCGCUCAUUGGUGGAAAUGCCUCCGCUGAAGGCCCCGAGGGCGAAGGUACCGAAAGCACGGUAAUCACUGGCGUGGAUAUUGUCAUGAACCAUCACUUGCAGGAAACCAGCUUCACAAAAGAAGCCUACAAGAAGUACAUCAAAGAUUACAUGAAGUCAAUCAAAGGGAAGCUUGAAGAACAGAGACCAGAAAGAGUAAAACCUUUUAUGACGGGGGCCGCAGAACAAAUCAAGCACAUCCUUGCUAAUUUCAAAAACUAUCAGUUCUUUACUGGUGAAAACAUGAAUCCAGAUGGCAUGGUUGCUCUGCUGGACUACCGUGAGGAUGGUGUGACGCCAUAUAUGAUUUUCUUUAAGGAUGGUCUAGAAAUGGAAAAAUGUUAACGGAUUUGGCUGUUUGGAUCUAUCACCUGCUCGUCAUAACCGGCUGGCUGCUGCUUUUCAUCCACACAACACCGGGACUUAGACAAAUGGGACUGAUGUCAUCUUGAGCUCUUUGUUUUGAUGUUGAUUUGUUUGGAGCGGAGGCAUUGUUUUUGAGGAAAAAAAAACCAUGUCAUGUAGGUUGUC